CUCAACUCACAACUCAUAUUUAACACCAAAAUUCCAAAUCCUUAAAGCUCCAACUCUCCAUCUCCAUCUUUUCACUCCAGAUCUUCACCUUAAUCUCUACCACCCCUUGCACGUCUCAUACAAUCACCUCCAAUUUCUUAUACAUUUGGCCAUAUUAACUCUAGGAUCGAAUUUUCAUCUCUUAAUUUCAAUAUUUUAACCACAAAAAUUGUAACUUUCAUUCAAAAAUCAACCCAUCCAAGACACUAUAUUAUACAAUUAGAGGUUUGCUUGGGCUUUGAUUACUCUACCACAACAAGGAUUAUUCAAUUGAAACUAAGUGGUUUCUCUCUCUCUCAUUUUUUUUUUGGGAGUUAGUGAUGGUAUUGUUGGGGCCUGUGGUUAUAUACAUUGUGAAUCAUUGGUGAUAAAGUGAUUGUAGCUUAUGGUUUGAUUUGAAGAAGUUGGGUGACAUUGUUCUUUGAAUUGUGAGAGGUUGGAAUAGAUGCUCACUAAGUGUUUGACAAAAUUAUUAAAAGAAAAUCUAUAUCUUUGUUGUGAAUUUUGGUAUCAUAAUUGGAGUUUACAACAUAAGGGCAAUUUGACUUGGGUAUUGGUGGUUCGAAUUACUAGUUGCGUAUGUACUUUGAGAAAUUGACAUGGUUGAUUGAAGCAUUGUGAAUUGUUGACAUUUAAAAGUUUAAAAUGUUGUUGAAUAAGAAAUCCAAAAUCAUGGCAUCUUUAUCCUCUACUUUAUAUGAUAAGAAAAUUUUAUAAGUUCUACUGUAGAAGAUAGGUACACCAAAAUGUUAGUAGAUCGAAAUUCUAUAAAGGAAGGCGCAUUGAAAACUACAUGGAGGAUCAGAUUGCUAGUAGGAAUUGACAGGUAUUUACAAAAUAAUCAAGUUCAGCCUCGAUCCCAUUGGUAAGAGUAUUUUUCUCUAAUGCCAUGAAGCAUUCUUUUGACAGUUCAGCUAUCAACAAAUACUAUAUAGUACAAGAUAGACCUAAUGAUGACUACUUAAGAAUCCCUAAAGAAUGUGUUGAGCCUGAGAGAAUACUCAAUGUAUUGGCCAAGAAAGUGAUUGAAGAGAAACGAUCAUCCAGAACUUUCCAAUGUCAAGUAUAAGUCUCGAGUGCAAAAUCUAGCACUACUUCAUCUUUGCCAAACUCCUUCAAACCAGUAACAUUAGUAAGGCAACUAAAGAAAGAGUAAUACUGAAUUAUACUCUUUAAAGGGAUUACUCAAUUGAUAUUGGGAAUGUCAUUCACAACAGCAUUCUAGCACCUAAUGGGGUCUACCACUGUUGGUUUAGGACAUCCCUCAUUAAUAUAUGAUUUAUGUAUAAAAGCAAGUGUCGUGGUAAAACCAUCUGAAGAGGUAGUACAUCCCAGACCAGUUCUCAUGCCGGGCCAUAGAAGAAAGGUUUCUGAGUCAUUGGGGCUCACAAUGGAUUCUUCGAUACCUCAGGAACCUCAUCCAUCUCUACUAGCUAGAGAAACUAGUAAUGACAUUACUAGUCAACUUCAUGCCAUGAACUUGCAAAUGAUGCAAUAGCUGAAAAGAAUGUAACUGCAAUUUAAUCAAAUGCAGAACUCAAUGCACGACUAAUUUCUCUAUCAGAAUAAGUUCAACAAAGAUUUGGCGUCCAUGUUCCCUGAUCAGACUUUCCUUAACCACCAUUAUUUCCUUAUCAUUCUCACAAUCUAGCUCCGCCAAACCAAGAUGCCAUGAGGAUGAAAAUAAUUAAUGUCUUCAUUCGGGUCAGUUAUCUCUCUUGUCUUUAAUUUUACAUUGAAGAUAAUGUUUAGUUUAAGUUUGAGGAAGUAUUUUACCUUAAUUGUUUAUUUAGUUAAUAGUUUGUGUGUGAUUUUUAUUUUUUUCUUUCUUAUGUUUUAUGUGUUAUUAAGUCUGAAACGUGAAAAAAAAAUUCUAUGCUUUUGCAUGCUUGUAUGAGUUAGUUAGCAUUGCCAGCAACGAUGCAUAUAUUUGAGAAAUUAUAUCAGUUUGUGAAUUGUGAGUACAUAAUGUGCUUUAGUUAAGUUUUUGCUUAUUCUUGUAAAAUGUUAAUAUAAUGAUGUUCAUUAAUUAAGUUAAAGUUGUUUAGGAAAUAUGUUGAUUCAUAUAUGGUUUAAGUUGAAUUAGUAGCCUUGCAUACUAAAUCCAAAACAGUCAGUAAAAAUCUUAUAUCCUUAACCCAAUCUAGUAUAGUUUGAGUGGUUUAGUUGUUAUAGGAAAACUUGGAGAUAGAUGAGGAUUUAGUGUGUGUGUAUAUUGUGUGGAUUAUCUAAGACCAAUGUCAUGAAAUUUGGGUGAAAACCUUAAAUGAGAGACCGAUUUUUCAAGAAUGUGUUUAGUAAGAUGAAUUGCACUAAUCACCACUUCAAAGGGAAAAAGACGCCUUGUUGUGGGGUUGUCCUAAAAAAUCUCAAUGAGGACAACUAUAAUAAUCUUCUUGUGAAACAUCUCUUCAUAGCCUUUAUGACUUGAGUGAUUAAGUCUGUAAUGGUUUAAAACCUGAUGCUUUAUAGUCAUCUAAUUUGGGAGUCAUCAACCAAAAGCUCGCUACAGAGGUCAUUUAAAAAGUUUAAUGAAAAAAUGUCCAAUUAAUUCUCCAAUUAAUUGAUUGCUUCGACCAUCAAGACUCAAUUAGGCUAAUUAUCCUUCAUCGAAAGUCAAAUUUCCUCGAACAAUUGCUAAGACUUAACAAGGUAAUAAGUGCUUUUACUUCUUUCAUGCACAUGCUUUUUCUGAUUUUUAAAAGAUUUUUUUUUGCACUCCCCCAUAAGCUUUCUAGAUGACCAAUGUAGUAGGCUUUAGGCCAAUUAUUCCCAAGUCAGACGACUUUAGGGCACCAGAUUUUCAAAUACCCUUACAAGCUUAAUAAUCCGAGUAAAAAAAAAAAGAACUUCGAAGAGAACAAGUUUUUUAUUUUUGUAAGGACAACUUCAUCUAUGAUCACUUCUAAAUGAUCCAUGUAGCGAGUAUUAGGCUAAUAACUCCCAAGUCAGAUGAUUUUAGGAUACUAGGUUUUAAUAUACCCUUGUAGGCUUAAUUAAUUGAGUCAUAAAGACUUCAAAGAAAAUGUUUAAAUUUCAAAAUAUAUGCAUUGAUUAGUGAAAUGACCCUUAACACACACCUAUUUAAUCAAAUCGACCUCCAUUUUAAGACUUUCACCCAAUUUUAUCCUGUUAAUCUAAGACAAUCCACACAAACUUUUUUACACGAGGAAUCCAUAUUCACAUCCGUAUCUUCCUACAACAUCAAGGUUACCCCCAAACUGUGCUAAAUUUGUUUUUAAGGAUAAAUAAUAGUAUGGUUUAGGUAAAGCAUCUAUUUCCAGCUUAAUCAAUCUAUCACAUACAUGAAUCAACUCAUUUCAUCACAAUGUCAACUCAAUUUUAGUGCGCAUAUAAUAUCUAGUUUUGCAAGUUUAAACUUCAAUCAAUCUAACAUGCAUCCUAUCCACAAUUCAUAAAUCAACAUCAAAUCUCAAAUUUUAAUCAUCAUUUUCGGUCAAACUGUCUAGCCUACACAAGCACACAAUUAGGAAUAAUAAUAAUUGAACGAUUUUAUUAUUAUUAUUUUUUACUUAACACACAAUUUUUUUAAAUAAACACAUAAAAAAAAUGCACAAAAAGAUACAAAAGCCAAAAGUAAGAAUAUAAAGAAAUGGGGAAGAAAUGGAAGAAAAUACUCCUUGAAGUUCUCUGUUGAAUGUGUUAGGCAUUAUGGAUGAAGGCUCGACAAUCUCUUUCAUCACACUUUUCCUCUAGUCUAUGCUGGUUUGAGUGUUCUACGAUGUCAUGUUCCUACAUUUGAUGGUCAGAUCAAAUAUUGGAGAUCAAAUAAUCUAGAACAUGUGUUACUUAGCCCAAACAAUCAAAAUAACUAACACUAGAUUCAAGGGCCUAAAAGGAACAACGAGGAUUGUGAUACCCUACAAAUUGAAACAUCUUAAGUCUAAUGCAGACUAAUAAUCAAAAUAAAUCUAUAUGCAAAUGCAGUGUAAAAAGUAAAAUAAAUAAAAGAGAUAGAAGGUUGGGUUGCCUCCCAAUCGGUGUUUAAUUUAUAGUCUUUAGCUGGACUAUCAGAUCGAUCAUUUUAUGUUAUGAAGUUGGAUGAGUGACUUCUCUUUAUCGAAGUCACCACCCUAAUAUGCUUUCAACCACUACCCAUUUACUUUGAAGGUUCCUUUUGUCUUAUGAGUCACUUCAACUACCCCAUAUGGAAAGACUUGAACAACUGUGAAUGGUCAAGACCAUCUAGAAUGCAGCUUCCCAGGAAAAUGUUUCAACCUAGAAUUGAAACAUAGUACUUUUUAACCUGGAUUAAACUUAUGCCUCUGGAUGUAUUUAUCAUGCAAUUUCCUCGUCAUCUCCUUGUACAGUUUUGUAUUCUUGUAGGCAUCCAUCUGAAAUUCAUCCAACUUAUUUAACUAUAGCAUCCUCUUAUCUCUAGCUACUGUUAGAUCCAUGUUUAACUGCUUUAUUACACAAUAUGCUCGAUACUCCAAUUCCACUAGAAGGUGACAAGCUUUUCCAAAUACAAGGCGAUAUGGUGACAUUCCUAUUGGUGUUACACUACUCGAAUGGCAUCCUUCUGUAUGCAAAAGUACCAUAAGGGCAUGUAAAUGUAGUCUUCUCUGAUCGUUUGGAGCUACUGCAAUCUGAUUGUAACUCGAUUACCUAUCUAAGAAGCAAAAGUAUGAAUGUCCAGCUAGUCUCUCCAAUAUCUGAUCGAUAAAGGGCAAAAGAAAGUGAUCUUUUCUAGUUACAUUGUUUAGUUUUCUAUAGUCUAUAUAUAAUCUCCAUCCCAUGACUGGUCUUGUCGGUAUCAGCUCAUUGUUCUCAUUCUUUACCACUGUAAUACCUCCUUUCUUUGGAACAACAUGGAUUGGACUAACCCACUUACUAUCCGAGAUCGGAUAGAUGAUGCCUGCAUCAAGUAGUUUCAAUACCUCUACUCGCACAACGUCCUUCAUGGUGGGAUUCAAUCCGCGCUGAUUUCCACUGUUGGCUUAUACUCUUCUUCCAUCAAGAUUUUGUGCAUGCAUAUCAAUGGACUGAUUUCUCUGAUGUCUGUUAUAGACCACCCAAUGGUUGUUUCGUAUUCCCGUAAGACCCUUAGAAGUCUCCACUCUUCCAGCUCAGUCAUCUCAUUCGCAAUGAUCACGGGGAGUGUAGAUGACUCUCCUAAAAAAACAUACCUCAGAUGUGAUGACAAUUGCUUGAACUUAAGAUUUGGUGUUUUCUGAAUAGAAGGUAGUGGUUUACUAUGUCCUGUAUCAAGUUCUUCAAGCUGCCUUCUUCUGAUGGAUGGAGCAGACUCUAUAAUGUAGGGAAAUGACUUAUCUCUUCAACUGUUGAUGUUUUAUCUCGUGAAUGCACACGAAGAUUUGUUUCAGCGUUACUCGCAAUGUUCCUGAUAGUCUCUCUGAAAGUGCCUUGGCUAUUUGUCCCAUUUGAUUCUCCAAAUUUUUUAUGGUAGAACCUUGAACUUGCAAACUCUUAUCCGUACGUUGUAUGUGUUGAGUAGAUAUUUCUGGUAACUUCGUCACAAGAUCUUCCAGUGAAGACUUUUUCUCAUUUUGCUGAAAUCCUGGUUGUGUAAUCUAUUAUGGCGCAAUUCGAGCUCCCUGAUUAUUGCUCCAUUGAAAGUCUGGGUGAUUUCUCUAACCUGGGUAAUAUGUGUGAGGAUUUUGAUUUUGUUGUUGCCUUUGAAAAUUUUAAGUGUAGUUAAUGUCUUCUACUGUUUGAGCAAAAAGAGAUCCUACAGUACAGUCAACACUUUCGUGGCUCCUUCCACAAUGUUAGCAUUUCGAUCCCACCGCCUCGGCUACACUCAUCUAAUCUACCUUCUAUGCCAAUGAUGCCAAUUGUUGCUAAAAUUGCUGUUAAAGAAUCAAUUUCGAAUACCUUAGCAGCUUUCUUUUCACUUGUUCUUUCUGUUGAAUACUAAAUCUUCCAUUAUUUGGUAGACCUAAUUCAUGGUUUGUUUUGUGAUAGAACCAUCACAUGCAGAGUCUACAUUAGCACUGCUAAUCGGGUUCAAACCAAUGUAAAAGUAUUGCAUUUGAAGCCACUUCUAUAAUCGGUGUUGUGGGCAUUGGCAAAAUAAACCUUUGUAUCAUUCCCAAUCCUUUGAAUAUCAUUCUGAGUCCAUUUGUUGAAAAGUAGUGAUCUUGUCCCUUAGUAUCGCAAUCUUUUUCGGUGGAAAAUAUUUGCUAAGAAAUUUCUGACUCAAUUGGCUCCAUGUUGUGAUGCUCUAAGUUGGGCAAGUGUCUAACCAUUCCCUCGCUGAGUCCCUCAAUGUGUAUGGAAAGAGCCUUAGUCUGAUUGCUUUGCUUGAAACCCUCAGAUACUCAGUUGUUGCACACAUGUCCAAAAAUCUUGAUAUAUGAGCGUUGGGAUUCUCCGUAGCUCUCCUAAAGAAAUGUAGCGUAUUUUGGAACAUAUUGAUAACAUCCAUUCUCAAGUGGAAGUUUGCUUGACCAAACACUAGACAUAAUAAAUUAGAAUGGCUUUCCACUAUCGGUGGAACCAUAUACUCUCCCAUGAGCCUUGUGUUUUCAUUGAUUGCAGUUAUAUUCGGUUGUACUACUCCUAGAUUAGCCCCGAUGGCUAUUUGAUUUGGAUUUUCAUUUGUCAUAUCUUCCUCUUUCUGUUUUUGGUGUGUUUCAAACUGUUGUCUUUUUCGAAGGUUGAAUGUUCAUUCAUCUUCGGGUCAAAUUGAGCAAGAUCACCAGUUCCCGAGCUUCGCAUACAACGUCCUAAGAAUGAGAGCAAGAAACACUAUAAAAAUUUUCUAAAUUAAUAAACUAACUAAAUAAAAUAAAAUAAAAUAAAAUUUAGAUUAAAGGUAAAAUUAGUUAAAACUUAUCAAAAAUUAUAAUCCCCGACAACGAUAUCAAAAACUUGUUCGUUUGAUUACCCAUAAGUGAAUAUGAUCGUGAACAAGUAAUAAAAUAGUGUAUAGAGUGUCGAACCCACGAGAAUUAUGUGUUUGAUUGAGUUAAACCUAACAAUUUCCUUAAUCGAAUAGCAAAAUUGAUUAUAACUAAUAGUAUUAAAUCUAUUAACUAAAUUGAAAGAAAUGUAAAAAUUCACCAAAUUUGAGAGAAGUUUUGUUAAGAUAUAAAAUCCCCCUUGCUAAUCCAUUUUUAGUUCAACAAAUUAAUUGACAAUUUGAAUCAUGCUUGUUGGUUAAUGUUCCUAUUUUAUUUAAAAGCUUCUCUCGAUAACAAUUAAAUCUAUUCUCCUCAUGUGAUAUUCCUAUCUCUCGAUGAAAGAUGCGAACAUGAUAAAUGCUACAACUUUAAGGUUGCAAACCCAAGUACAAGUUGUCUCAAGUAGUAAACUCGAAAGUCCAAGGUCGAACCACAGAAAAUUGAAAGGAAAUAAACUAUUCUAUGAGUGGUAAAUGGUUGGUGGAAAUACGAUAAAGAAGAACACUAGAGCAUUGGGGAUUCACUUCAGAUAAUUGGGUAGGAAUUACUCGUGAUCUUUUAUUUAACUCAUAUGAAAUAUGGAAGAUAAAAUAUUGAUCACAAAUAUACUAAAAGAUAAAUUUUGAUAAUUGUUUGAGAGUCAAAAUAAGUUGUUAUGUAGAAAUUAUCUAAGCAUUGAUUGUGCCAAAACUUGUCAACAAUAAAUCAAAAUCUUUAACAAACCAAAACCAUUUGAAGAACAUGUAAUUCAACCAAGUAAGAAGAUGUACAUUUAAGAACAAAGUGAAAGAUCAAAAACAAUACUAGACAUUUACAAAAGUUUCACCCCUAGCUCUAGCUAAAGUUUUAGAAAUACAUAAUGAAAUGCUACAAAAAAAAUAAAGGAAACUAGAAUAUGAUAAAGAGGAAUUGAUGCCCUCAAAAUCUUGGCCAAGGUCCCCUUUUAUAGGCAAAGGAAUAUCUAAAAUGCAAGUGGAUAAUGUAACUUGUUUCUGUUCCAGCUUCAAGAUAGCUGGAAUAUGCAACUUGAUACCAAUUUUUAGAUAUUUUGUACAGUGAAUUUGGAAUUAUGAUCCACAGAUAAAUUGUUAUCACUUGAGUUAGUUUUCCAUUGGUCCAAACAUCAAGUCCAUUGGAUCUUUAUAACUUCAGAUAUGGCCAAAAAAUGAGUGCUGCUCAUAGGUAGAAAAGCUGUAUCUGGUAAGUAACAACUUGAAUUUUACACGGUAAUUUUGGCUACCUUAUGAUGCAAAUUUGACUUCUUGAUAAACAUGAAAGUUGUAAAUACAUAUCUUAUCUUUCCAACCUGACUUGAAUCCCCUUGUUUCGAUAGCUAAAGCUCGAGUUAUGACCAUUUUAUCGAGACAACUAAUCAUUUUUUACUUUUCAACAUCUUUUCUCCACUUGUUCUACCUCGGAAAUACAUGUGAAAUACAUCAAACAAAUACUCCUUCAAAAGUAUAAUACUCAUGCCACAUGUAUUUAAAUACGUAUUUUGAUUAAUUGCACUUUUGACCAUGUAUUUAUGGAAAUUGAAUUUACGCCAAGAAAAUUGAAAUUAGAGACUAACAUUAGUGUUUUUAAACAAAGUGAAUGCAAAAUGCCUUGUAAAUAAUAUAUUUUUGAAGCACUUUUAGACACUAAUCAAUAAAUGCAUUAAAUGAGCUAGAACAUCUUAUAACAACCAUAUGAAACAUAGAGGUAUGUCUAUAUUCUCUAUCGAACCUCACAAUACUUAUUACUAUGUGCUAAUGAUCUUAUUAUCUCUCUUAAUGAUAAUAAAAUUCACAAACAAUUCAAUUAAUGGUCAAUUAAUUGAAAAGCUAACGAAACAAUAAUAAAUAUCCAAACAAUUAAAGAAACUAUCAUCAAAGUAAUUAUUCAAACUAAGAACUUCACAAUAAGGGUUCAUCACAUCCUAACAAUAUUAAAAAGUUUAGUCAAGCAUAUUGUUGAAAUUAAAUACACACAAGUUAAAAGGCAUCACCAAACUUUGACGAAACGUGAUUAGUUCUCCCUAUUAAAGUUGCUGUCUUCUUCCUCGUAUUUUGUCAGCUUCUACCUGUCUUCUGUGUGGGUAUAAUAAAAAGGCAGCAGGCAGCUCGUUUCUUCUUUUAAACUUCAAUUCUUUGCUCCUGUGCCCCUCUCUCUCUCUCUCUCUCUCUCUCUAUAUAUAUAUAUAUAUCUCUAUAUAUAUAUAUAUAUAUAUAUAUAUAUAUAUAUAUUAGUUGUUUUGAGUUCUUUUGUUUUUCAUUCCAGCAGGCAGUUUCUUCUUCUUCCUUUGUCUGCGCGUGUGUAUAAUAUAUUUCUUGGUGCCCAAUUUCUGAAUUUUUCCUUUCUUCCUUGGCUACCAUUUAUGGUAUGUAUAUGUAUUAAUUAACUUCAAUCGGCAGCCCGUGUUCUUUCUUUUGCAGCAGCCCAAUUUGUCUGCCAAAAGUUUAACUCUAAUUCUUUGUCCUAAAGCUACUGCCAAUGUGUUUGAUUUCAGCAGCACAACUGAUUUUUGUCUCCCAACCGUCGCCUUCAAUAUUUCUCUCCUUUUUCCUCCAACUUGGUGCCGUAUUUUCUAAUGUGUAUCCCCCUCUCAUCCCUAGCUUCCUGUGUGUAUAUUUAUAUCUACUACAACUGCAAUAAGUUGGAGUCCAGCUUGGAGUGAAUUUCUUUGGAUAAAACACACCAAAAACUAAAGAAAGUUCAGCCCACUUUUGUUUUCAAUUUCCUACAGCUUGAUUGGAUUUAUUCCAGUUAAAGUCCAAACAUGAGGCCCAUUUAAUGUAUAAUUUUCUUCAAGCCUUCCUUUCUUUUAAAAUAGCGCAAUUUAGUCCCUCUUCAUUUCCAGUUGCUUCAAACAAGUCCAUCACUGAAAUAAACAAAAUUAACUCAAAUUAAGUAUAAAGUUCACUAAUUUGACAACAUACAAGUUUAGUACUAUGGCAUAAAUAAGUGCACAAAAUGCACUUAUCAUUAAUCAAGGUAUGCAGCGCAUCUUCUGUUUAAUGCAGCUAUUUUUUUCAAACUUGCUAUAUGUAUUCUAUCUAAUGCUCUAGCACUAUCCCUUUUGAGUUUCUUAUUUGGAUAUUGAAUAUUUCUUCUCAUUAGGGUUAGGAUCACAACAUGACAAUUGUUUUCCUCUUUAUGCAAUAAUUAGUAUAAUGUCACUCAUUAAAAGAACAGUAUCAAAAACUAACCAUAAACUUAAGAUUUUUAAGUUUUCAUCUUGUAAGCUAAUAAGUGCAUUUUGCACACUUAUUUGGAUCAUAUUACUAAGCUUUUAUAUCAUGAAAAUGUUUACUUAACUUGGAUUAACUUUCAUUUAUUUCAAUGAUGGAUCUAUUCCUAAUGCAAGUGGAAAGGAAAAAUGAAAAAUCUAAAGUACGAGGGCAAAAUUGCAAUAUUUUAAUAGUUGAUUCGGACCAUGAAAUGAAGAUUAAAGAUGUUUCGGGUUCAAUUGGAUGCAAUUAGAAGUCAAAGGGUUGAAAUUGCAAGAGAAAGGAUUUAAAAGGAUUAAGAAUUGAAUUCAAAAACUAAAAUGCAACAUUCGGAAGUUUUUAUAACUGGACAAUUGUCGAGAUAUUUAGAGUGGGUGACAACCCAACAUCAAGGAAUGGUUAUCGAGGUAAAAAAACAUAGCUUGGUUGAAUGCGUGGGUUUUUCUUGGGAGACUGCCCAAGUCAAUCGCGGGGAAAAAUUAUGAUUUCCUUAUCUGACUGAAAUUCUUAUGGAAACAAAUAUUGAAAAUUAUUUUAAAACCCUAAGGUCAUCCCAAAGUAGGCACCCCUCAUUCUAAUUGAUUUGUAAGAAUUUGGAGAGCAUUGACAGAGGCAAGAAACAUGAAGAAAACCCGAAGACGUGAGGAUUCAAAUCAACAAUUAAUUUGGUGAUGUCGUUUCUUCAAGAUUCCUUUUUGUUUUCUAACUUCCACCACACCUUGGCUUUGGGCCUCCGAGCCUCGAGCCGGACCUGUUGGGCUUUUUUGGGGCGAAGCCAUUGUUGGCUCGAGCCAACGAGCACGAUUGCCAUCCUUACUCUCGAUGUUUGAGCCUCGAAUUAGCCAAUAAAAUUUUUUUGUCUGCAAAGGUUUUUUUCCACAAAUAAAAACAUUUCCCUAUGAAUAAAAUUUUUAGGGAAAAUGUAAAACUCUUGUAGUACAUUGAACCACUUGUUCUUCGCUAGUGGCAGGCACCUAAUCCUCCUUGAUCCGUUUUUUCUUUAUAGUGAUUUCUAGUAGCUAAAAUCUACAUCUCUUUGUGAUGGCUUGAACUUGUUCCUCUUUCAGUGACACAUAAGCUCGAAUGGGGAUAACUAUCUUGACUGAUGGUGUCUCAAAAACUUCAUAAUCUAUAACUUUAAUUGCUAGUAACGGUUCUUUAUUUUAUUUAUUUUUUUUUUUUUUGUUGUCACUUGGCAAGGUACUUGUGUUAUUUUGUACAAUGAAGCAGUUGUUGGCCUACCCGAGUUUCCAACUUACUGAUUGCUACCUACUGGUUCUAAAAUUAGUCUCAGUCUUUGUAAUGUACUGAGUCAUUUGAUCUCCUAAAGAUGACUACUUCUUCUCUCGUUCCUAAAAUCCUGGUGGUGUUAUCGAGAAUCUUUUUUCCUAAUCUAGUUUUAUUAAUGUUUUCUCGACAAUCGCUAAACACGUUAUAUUUAUUUUUUUCAAAAUAAAUUAAUUCUAUGCUAAACACGACUCGAUCAUAUUUCUAGUUCGAAUUCAAAUGAGUAGAACGUAUUCAAUUAUACGAUUAUCUAAAUGAUUGCACAUGUGAUAUUGUUACCCUAAUAUCUAUUGCCCGUAUGUUAACCUUGUAGAAUUCUAAACUUAAUUUUGAAACAAUUAAUUCUAGUAAUAAAAAAUUUUCGGGACUUUACACGUUACUCAUGAAGGAAGCACCGUUUGGUGUUCAAAAUGAGAAAGAGAUUGAUGAUGACACCAAUGACCAAAGUUUGCAUUUUUGAAUAUAUAUAUAUAUUUCUACCACUUAUUUCAGUGCCUUCCUACUUAGUAUUGUUUAUGGUACUCAUCCCUAUUAAAAUUUUACAGGUUGAUUCGUGGCAUGGUCGUGGUUUGGCAUUGUGGCAAAUGCUCGGUGAUUUAAAAAGGUGUCAACUUUCUAGUAAAAUUUCC
rnacentral:lncRNA from 1 species